rnacentral:rRNA from 1 species
UACAGAGACUGCAAGCGUUAUUCGGAUUUACUGGGCGUAAAGGGAGCGUAGGUGGUUAGGUAAGCCCUCCGGGAAAUCUUCAGGCUUAACCUGAAAAGGUCGGGGGGGACUGCCUAGCUAGAGGGCGGGAGAGGAGCGCGGAAUUCCCGGUGUAGCGGUGAAAUGCGUAGAGAUCGGGAGGAAGGCCGGUGGCGAAGGCGGCGCUCUGGAACGUUUCUGACACUGAGGCUCGAAAGCGUGGGGAGCAAACAGG